AGAGACAGCAGUCGCCGCGGGAAAACGGAGGGUGCGAGCGUUAUCCGGAUUCACUGGGUUUAAAGGGAGCGUAGGCGGGCAUGUAAGUCAGUGGUGAAAUCCCGGGGCUCAACCCCUGGACUGCCAUUGAUACUAUGUGCCUUGGAUGUUGUCGAGGUUUGCGGAAUAUGUCAUGUAGCGGUGAAAUGCUUAGAUAUGACAUAGAACACCGAUUGCGAAGGCAGCAGGCUAGACAAAUAUCGACGCUGAGGCUCGAAAGCGUGGGGAUCGAACAGGAUUAGAUACCCCAGUAGUCCCUGUCUCUUAUAA
rnacentral:rRNA from 1 species